rnacentral:lncRNA from 1 species
GCUGCCUGCCGGGCGAGGGGAAGGGCUGCUGCUCCGGCACUGGCCCCGUGGAGCACGCGGAUAAGGGCAGGGACAAGGCAGGCAGGACCGGCACGUGGGGGAGACGAAGCCGGGGCACGAUCCCCACCUUUUCGGGGGGUCCCGCCAGUAAAACCACCUGCCCCGCUGCAGCGCCCAGGGCUGAAUCCCCCCCCCCCCCCCUCCUCCUCGCUGCUCUCUGAUUUGGGGGCUUUAACCCACACCGGCCAAAGCGGACAACAGGGCAGGAGCGUCGCCCACGGGGGCUCCAAGGGGCAUUUCGGGUUCAAUAAACAGCGUCUCGCCGGGCUCCGGCUUCGCGGCAGGCUCGGGGGAAGGACCGGAGUAACCCUCCAGCCCCGUCGGCUUUCUAUCUCCUUGCUGUCCCGCUCCGGGCACCUCUGACCAGCGCCGAGGAGGAAAUAAUGGUUUUCCUGUCCUGGAAGAAGCGUCGUGAUUUUAAAGCAUUUCCGUUCCCAAACCGGGCUGCAAAGCAGAAAGUUUGGGAAAGUUUGUGAGCCGACAAGCCGAGACAGCUUCUCCUUCGGAUCGGUUGUGAAAGGUUUCUCUGAGCAAACUUUGAAACCUUUCCUUGGAUUUUGACCUUCUCCCUUUGUUUAACCUUUAAAAAUACAAUGCAAGUCACACAGCUAAAAAGCUUGCCCUGAACCUAAAAAAAACCUGGAAACUUUUUUUUUUCCCCAGCGCUCUUUUUUUUUUCUCUCUUGAGUCAGGAAAUGUUUGGGAGCCGUUUCCCACAAACAGGUUUGGUUUUGAUAAAUCUUCAUUUUUUCGGUGCCGAAGCAAAAAUCCCGACGAAAACUCCAGAGCAGCCGCCUCGCCACGGCAUGGGCGAGGAGGAGGAGGAGGAGGAGGAAGUCAUCCUUGGCUGAAGCGCUGGCCCCGUUUCGGGCACCAGCCACGUGCGCGACCAUGGCAGGACGAAGGGGCGCCCAGCGCCGUCCUCCGGGGCCUGGCCCAGGAGCUGGAGGCUCCGGUUCCCCUUUAGCAUCCCAGCCAGGAUGACUUCCCAGUGUUCCCGCCCUCCCCGGUGCUCCGAGCCGUGACGGCUCCGGCUGCUGCAUGCCUGGCCCCGUGGGUGCCCCGCUUACCGCCGGGGAUGUUUCACCCUCGUAUCGCUCUGAGCUGCGUAUUCCCCGGGCCGGGCCGGCUGGCACAUGCUGUUUUAAUAUUUGGGUGAUGUCAUCGAGUGCUCUAUAAUGCCAUAAAAAACCAGAACAUCUAUAAACCUGACCAGUCAACCUCCAGCAGAACACACACACGCACGAGCACGCACACGGAUACACACACACACACACACACACAGCUGCACACACACGUGCACAGAGGCACACGCACAUGAAUCCGUACAUAUGGAUGCCCACACACAGAUGCAGACAGGCAC